CUCAAGAUCAGCACACUGUGUU
rnacentral:miRNA from 1 species